rnacentral:rRNA from 1 species
GACGAACCGUGCGAACGUUGUUCGGAAUCACUGGGCUUAAAGGGCGCGUAGGCGGGCUGCCGCGUCCGGGGUGAAAUCCUCCCGCUCAACGGGAGAACGGCCUCGGAUACGGGCGGCCUCGAGGGGGGUAGGGGCGUCUGGAACUGUGGGUGGAGCGGUGAAAUGCGUUGAUAUCCACAGGAACUCCGGUGGCGAAGGCGGUUCUCUGGGCCUGUACUGACGCUGAGGAGCGAAAGCGUGGGGAGCGAACAGG